AAACAUCUGAAGACGUGAAUGGUGAUCUGAGCUGCACUUGCCUGUUAUUACCCCUGGCACUGGAAAGGUACCUAUUUCCCAGAACUGGAGCUCCAGGGCCUAGUGCUUCAUGGCUGGGUGGUGCUUCUGUCUGCCUUCUGAACAUUAUGAGAAUGAAACAGAGGCAACCAGAAAUCUGCAGCAAAUCAGAUACCAAACACUGUGUACAUUUGGAAAGACCAGAAGGGCAUCCAAGUAUAGACAAGUAUUCAAACUGACUCCAAUGGAAACAUCUGUCCUUCUUGAAUCUUAAGCCUGAAAGUUUUGAAACUGGAAAUUGCACCAUUGGUUCUCCUGAGUCUCCAGCUUGCUGGCUACAGAUCUUGGAACUUCCCAGCCCUUCGAUA